GUAACGGUGUCUUUAGACACCACCAUUUGUCUUCAAGAUUUUUUUU
rfam:Picea glauca, whole genome shotgun sequence.